rnacentral:rRNA from 1 species
GUAGGGUGCAAGCGUUAUCCGGAAUCAUUGGGCGUAAAGAGCUCGUAGGCGGUUCAGCAAGUCGGCUGUGAAAUCCCGAGGCUUAACCUCGGAACUGCAGUCGAUACUGCUGUGACUAGAGUCCGGUAGAGGAGAAUGGAAUUCCCGGUGUAGCGGUGAAAUGCGCAGAUAUCGGGAGGAACACCAGUAGCGAAGGCGGUUCUCUGGGCCGGUACUGACGCUGAGGAGCGAAAGCGUGGGGGUAGCAAACAGGAUUAGAUACCCUGGUAGUCCACGCCGUAAACGUUGGACACUAGGUGUGGCGUUCCGACCAACGGGUGCCGUGCCGAAGCUAACGCAUUAAGUGUCCCCGCCUGGGAUACGGCCGCAAGGCUA